rnacentral:rRNA from 1 species
UAGGCUUGAUAAUAGUCAUUAUUUAAAGUAUGUUUUAAUUUAUUUUUAUUUGUUUUUGAUUUAUUAAUUAUUUAAGUUUUCUAUUGGAAUUUUAGCUUUAAUUUUUAUUGUUUAUUAAAAAUGGUUUAAUUAGUAUAUUUUUAUGUUUAUUAUAUUUGUAUUCAAAUUUUGAUUGAAGGAAUUUGGCAAAUUUUUAGUAUUUCCGACUGUUUAUCAAAGACAUUUUCUGAAGUUUUUAUUUUAGAUAUGACCUGCUCACUGAGGAGUUAAAGAGCCGCAGUAUUUUGACUGUGCAAAGGUAGCAUAAUCAUUAGUGUAUUAAUUGUACACUGGAAUGAAAGGUUUAACGAGAAAAACUCUGUCUCUUAUUAAUAUUUAGAAUUUUAUUUUUUAGUAAAAAAGCUAAAAUGUUUUUUUUGGACGAUAAGACCCUAUAGAGUUUUAUUUAAUGAUGUUCAUGUGAUUUGGGAUUAUCUUAUUUAUUUUUGUAUCUUAAGUUUGGUUGGGGUGAUCUGAGUGAUAAUAAAACCACUUAUUUAUAUUUUUCAUUGAUUUUUGUUUUUGUUGAUCUUGUAUUAUUGAUUAAAAGAUUUAAUUACCUUAGGGAUAACAGCGCAAUUAUCUUUAAGAGUUCUUAUUGACAGGGUAGAUUGCGACCUCGAUGUUGGAUUAAGAUUAUUUUUAGGUGCAGAUGCUUAAUAAAAUUGGUCUGUUCGACCAUUAAUGUCUUACAUGAUCUGAGUUCAGACCGGCGUGAGCCAGGUUGGUUUCUAUCCAAAAUUUUUUUUUAUUUUCUAGUACGAAAGGACCGUGAAUUUUGAUUAUUUUAUUAAAAUUGAUUUUGAUU